GAUGAACGCUGGCGGCGUGCCUAAUACAUGCAAGUCGAGCGAAUGGAUUAAGAGCUUGCUCUUAUGAAGUUAGCGGCGGACGGGUGAGUAACACGUGGGUAACCUGCCCAUAAGACUGGGAUAACUCCGGGAAACCGGGGCCAAUACCGGAUAACAUUUUGAACCGCAUGGUUCGAAAUUGACUGGCGGCUUCGGCUGUCACUUAUGGAUGGACCCGCGUCGCAUUAGCUAGUUGGUGAGGUAACGGCCAACCAAGGCAACGAUGCGUAGCCGACCUGAGAGGGUGAUCGGCCACACUGGGACUGAGACACGGCCCAGACUCCUACGGGAGGCAGCAGUAGGGAAUCUUCCGCAAUGGACGAAAGUCUGACGGAGCAACGCCGCGUGAGUGAUGAAGGCUUUCGGGUCGUAAAACUCUGUUGUUAGGGAAGAACAAGUGCUAGUUGAAUAAGCUGGCACCUUGACGGUACCUAACCAGAAAGCCACGGCUAACUACGUGCCAGCAGCCGCCGUAA
rnacentral:rRNA from 1 species